GACGAACGCUGGCGGCGUGCUUAACACAUGCAAGUCGAACGGAAAGGCCCUGCUUGCAGGGUACUCGAGUUGCGAACGGGUGAGUAACACAUGGGUGAUCUGCCCUGCACUUCGGGUUAAGCCAGGGCAACUAGGUCUAAUACCGGCUAGGAGCCAUUUUUAGCCUGAUGGUUGGAAAGUUUUUUCGGUUUUGGAUGAGCUCGAUAGCUAUCAGCUUGUUGGUGGGGUAAUGGCCUACCAAAGCGGCGUCGGGUAGCCGGCCUGAGUGGGUGAACGGCCACACUGGGACUGAGGUGCGGCCCAGACACCUACGGGUGGGAGCAGUGGGAAAGACUGCACAAUCGGCGCCAGCCGGAUGCAGCGACGCCGCGUGGCGGAUGACGGCCUUCGGGUUGUAAACUCCAUGCGCUAGUGACGAAGCUUUUUGUGACGGUACCUAGAUAAGAAGCACCGGCUAACUACGUG
rnacentral:rRNA from 1 species